rnacentral:rRNA from 1 species
UGCAAGUCGAGCGGACAGAAGGGAGCUUGCUCCCGGAUGUUAGCGGCGGACGGGUGAGUAACACGUGGGUAACCUGCCUGUAAGACUGGGAUAACUCCGGGAAACCGGAGCUAAUACCGGAUAGUUCCUUGAACCGCAUGGUUCAAGGAUGAAAGACGGUUUCGGCUGUCACUUACAGAUGGACCCGCGGCGCAUUAGCUAGUUGGUGGGGUAAUGGCUCACCAAGGCGACGAUGCGUAGCCGACCUGAGAGGGUGAUCGGCCACACUGGGACUGAGACACGGCCCAGACUCCUACGGGAGGCAGCAGUAGGGAAUCUUCCGCAAUGGACGAAAGUCUGACGGAGCAACGCCGCGUGAGUGAUGAAGGUUUUCGGAUCGUAAAGCUCUGUUGUUAGGGAAGAACAAGUGCGAGAGUAACUGCUCGCACCUUGACGGUACCUAACCAGAAAGCCACGGCUAACUACGUGCCAGCAGCCGCGGUAAUACGUAGGUGGCAAGCGUUGUCCGGAAUUAUUGGGCGUAAAGGGCUCGCAGGCGGUUUCUUAAGUCUGAUGUGAAAGCCCCCGGCUCAACCGGGGAGGGUCAUUGGAAACUGGGAAACUUGAGUGCAGAAGAGGAGAGUGGAAUUCCACGUGUAGCGGUGAAAUGCGUAGAGAUGUGGAGGAACACCAGUGGCGAAGGCGACUCUCUGGUCUGUAACUGACGCUGAGGAGCGAAAGCGUGGGGAGCGAACAGGAUUAGAUACCCUGGUAGUCCACGCCGUAAACGAUGAGUGCUAAGUGUUAGGGGGUUUCCGCCCCUUAGUGCUGCAGCUAACGCAUUAAGCACUCCGCCUGGGGAGUACGGUCGCAAGACUGAAACUCAAAGGAAUUGACGGGGGCCCGCACAAGCGGUGGAGCAUGUGGUUUAAUUCGAAGCAACGCGAAGAACCUUACCAGGUCUUGACAUCCUCUGACAACCCUAGAGAUAGGGCUUUCCCUUCGGGGACAGAGUGACAGGUGGUGCAUGGUUGUCGUCAGCUCGUGUCGUGAGAUGUUGGGUUAAGUCCCGCAACGAGCGCAACCCUUGAUCUUAGUUGCCAGCAUUCAGUUGGGCACUCUAAGGUGACUGCCGGUGACAAACCGGAGGAAGGUGGGGAUGACGUCAAAUCAUCAUGCCCCUUAUGACCUGGGCUACACACGUGCUACAAUGGACAGAACAAAGGGCUGCAAGACCGCAAGGUUUAGCCAAUCCCAUAAAUCUGUUCUCAGUUCGGAUCGCAGUCUGCAACUCGACUGCGUGAAGCUGGAAUCGCUAGUAAUCG